rnacentral:misc_RNA from 1 species
CCAAUAGCGUAUAUUAAAGUUGUUGCAGUUAAAAAGCUCGUAGUUGAAUUUCGGAGUUUGUCGGUUGGUCGGGCUUCACUGUCCGCACUGGCCUGAUGGAUUCCUACCUUCUGAAUAACCAGCAUGCUAUUAAGUUAGUGCGUUGGGGAAGCAGAGCUAUUACCUUGAAAAAAUUAGAGUGCUUAAAGCAGGCUUAUGCUUGAAUAGAUUAGCAUGGAAUAAUAAAAUAGGACGGCAUGGUUCUAUUUUGUUGGUUUCUAGGAUCACCGUAAUGAUUAAUUGGGAUAGUUGGGGGCAUUAGUAUUCAAUUGUCAGAGGUGAAAUUCUUGGAUUUAUUGAAGACUAACUUCUGCGAAAGCAUUUGCCAAGGAUGUUCUCGUCGAUCAAGAACGAAAGUUAGAGGUUCGAAGGCGAUCAGAUACCGCCCUAGUUCUAACCAUAAACUAUGCCUGCCAGCGAUCCGCCGAAGUUCCUCCGAUGACUCGGCGGGCAGCUUCCG